UGAGUGGCGGACGGGUGAGUAACACGUAGGUAACCUGCCCCGGAGCGGGGGAUAACAUUUGGAAACAGAUGCUAAUACCGCAUAACAACAAAAACCACAUGGCUUUUGUUUGAAAGAUGGCUUUGGCUAUCACUCUGGGAUGGACCUGCGGUGCAUUAGCUAGUUGGUAAGGUAACGGCUUACCAAGGCGAUGAUGCAUAGCCGAGUUGAGAGACUGAUCGGCCACAAUGGAACUGAGACACGGUCCAUACUCCUACGGGAGGCAGCAGUAGGGAAUCUUCCACAAUGGGCGCAAGCCUGAUGGAGCAACACCGCGUGAGUGAAGAAGGGUUUCGGCUCGUAAAACUCUGUUGUUGGAGAAGAACGUGCGUGAGAGUAACUGUUCACGCAGUGACGGUAUCCAACCAGAAAGUCACGGCUAACUACGUGCCAGCAGCCGCGGUAAUACGUAGGUGGCAAGCGUUAUCCGGAUUUAUUGGGCGUAAAGCGAGCGCAGGCGGUUGCUUAGGUCUGAUGUGAAAGCCUUCGGCUUAACCGAAGAAGUGCAUCGGAAACCGGGCGACUUGAGUGCAGAAGAGGACAGUGGAACUCCAUGUGUAGCGGUGGAAUGCGUAGAUAUAUGGAAGAACACCAGUGGCGAAGGCGGCUGUCUGGUCUGCAACUGACGCUGAGGCUCGAAAGCAUGGGUAGCGAACAGGAUUAGAUACCCUGGUAGUCCAUGC
rnacentral:rRNA from 1 species